ACCAAAACAUGAGAUAUGACAAUUAAGAUCAAUGUACCAGCUAACAGUUCUAAGAUGCGAGGUGAUCGACUUCUACUUAAAAACUUUAGUCAUGCUUUGUUAUGAUCCAAACCUACACUCAAAUGCACAAUGCGUCAAGAUCAACCAAUCCCUUUAACAUUCAUUAAGUUCAAAAACAUGAA
rnacentral:sRNA from 1 species